rnacentral:rRNA from 1 species
GACGAACGCUGGCGGCGUGCUUAACACAUGCAAGUCGAACGGAAAGGCCUUUUCUGAGGUACUCGAGUGGCGAACUGGUGAGUAACACGUGGGUGAUCUGCCCUGCACUCUGGGAUACGCCUGGGAAACUGGGUCUAAUACCGGAUAGUACCGCACUUUGGUGUGUGUGGUGGAAAGUUUUUUCGGUGUAGGAUGAGCCCGCGGCCUAUCAGCUUGUUGGUGGGGUAAUGGCCUACCAAGGCGGCGACGGGUAGCCGGACUGAGAGGUUGGUCGGCCACAUUGGGACUGAGAUACGGCCCAGACUCCUACGGGAGGCAGCAGUGGGGAAUAGUGCACAAUGGGCGCAAGCCUGAUGCAGCGACGCCGCGUGGGGGAUGACGGCCUUCGGGUUGUAAACUCCUUUCGCCAGGGACGAAGCGUUUUGUGACGGUACCUGGAGAAGAAGCACCGGCUAACUACGUG